UACGAAGGGGGCUAGCGUUGUUCGGAAUUACUGGGCGUAAAGCGCACGUAGGCGGGUUUGUAAGUAGAGGGUGAAAUCCCCGGGCUUAACCUGGGAACUGCAUUUGUGACUGCACGGCUAGAGUGUGGCAGAGGGGGGUAGAAUUCCACGUGUAGCAGCGAAAUGCGUAGAGAUGUGGAGGAAUACCGAUGGCGAAGGCAGCCCCCUGGGAUAACACUGACGCUCAUGCACGAAAGCGUGGGGAGCAAACAGG
rnacentral:rRNA from 1 species